rnacentral:lncRNA from 1 species
AUGAAGGCCCUCCAACGUUCAAGUCAGAAAUCAUAGAAUAAAGGAGCAACAAUGGGUUCUCUAAAAGGUAUUCCUCACUUUGGUCUUCAGGGCUUUAGUUGUUUAUAUAGAGUGUCAUUGAACAGCUGGUCGAAUAGCUAUAAAAUCAUGCAAUCUUGAGAUUGCAUGACCGUUAAGCAUGCCAUUACAGGCAAGAUAUUUUUGCCCUUAAUUGCUUCUAUGAAAUUAGGAGAGUUGGUCACCUCUAAGCUUUUUCACUUAGGAUGGAC